UACGUAGGUGGCAAGCGUUGUCCGGAAUUAUUGGGCGUAAAGCGCGCGCAGGCGGUCCUUUAAGUCUGAUGUGAAAGCCCACGGCUCAACCGUGGAGGGUCAUUGGAAACUGGGGGACUUGAGUACAGAAGAGAAGAGUGGAAUUCCACGUGUAGCGGUGAAAUGCGUAGAGAUGUGGAGGAACACCAGUGGCGAAGGCGACUCUGUGGUCUGUAACUGACGCUGAGGCGCGAAAGCGUGGGGAGCAAACAGG
rnacentral:rRNA from 1 species